GGCUGGUCCGAAGGUCAUGAGCUAUCUCCAUUGAUCAUAGUCAGUUGCAGAUGGAACCCCUUUUCUACUCUUUCGCCACUUCUCACUACUACACUUGACUAGUCUUAA
ensembl:Y_RNA Y_RNA Y RNA